rnacentral:rRNA from 1 species
UACGUAGGGCGCAAGCGUUGUCCGGAAUUAUUGGGCGUAAAGAGCUCGUAGGCGGUUUGUCGCGUCUGCUGUGAAAACCCGAGGCUCAACCUCGGGCCUGCAGUGGGUACGGGCAGACUAGAGUGUGGUAGGGGAGACUGGAAUUCCUGGUGUAGCGGUGGAAUGCGCAGAUAUCAGGAGGAACACCAAUGGCGAAGGCAGGUCUCUGGGCCACAACUGACGCUGGAGGAAGCGAAAGCCGUGGGGAGCGAACAGG